rnacentral:lncRNA from 1 species
UUUUUUUUUUUCAUUACUUGCAAUCUUGGGCUGAAACUGGUCCCUAAAAUAUUCUGGAUAUUAUCGCUCAGUAACUCCUACCUCCUGAAUAAAAAACACCAAACCCCCAAACAAACAAAAAAACUCCCACCAUAACAAGAAAACCCAAACCAACCCAUCAACAACCCAAAACUAACAAAAAAAAAAAAAAAAAAAAAACCCAGCACAAAUGACAGAAACAAAACAAGGAUGAAAGAAGUAACUGAAGAUAUGCAUAGUGGUAGUACAGAAAAAAAAAAGUAUAAAACCCCACUUACCAUAAACCCUCAUAUUUCCCCUUAAUAUUAAUGGAUAAAAAUUUCAUCUAUUGGCCUGUGUGAAGUGUGACUUUUAGUAUUAACUGGCUAUAUAAUGUGGGAUAGAGAACUCAAGUAGAUGGGUGCCUUUAAAUUUGAAAUCCCUUUCCAAUUCCCUGGAAGUAACCUAAACCGCUAUCUGUCAUGUUGCCACUUUCUGCAGGAGUCACGUUUCAAAAUUUCUCUACCUGGACAUGGCUUCAGUUGUGUUUAAAUGACACGAAAAUCCAGAACUGAUUAAAAACUCACCAGCUGAAAAUCAAAGAAAAAUACCACAGGCCGAAAGACUUGAUGUGAAUGCAGGAAUUAAUAAAUCCAAGAGCUUCCAUUAUGGAAUGGAAAAAUUAGAAAAUAAUUAAGAAAAUAAUUUAAGAGCUGUGGCAAGCUUGACCUGUAUAUGCAAUUGCAACAGAGCAGAAUUAAACAUAUCAGUCACAGAGGAUGGUUCCUAGGAUAGAGAUGACUACACUGUACAUAUUUAUAACUGCACUUCACUCUUGUAUAAUGCAUAAAAGCUAGCUGUGCCCCAGGGUGAUAAUCAGUCUGUUGUCUGAACAUGGUAACUGUGUGCGUGCAUGACGGUGCCAGUUACACCAUUUCAGCAGGUUAUUUUUCAGCAAGGCAAUAUACAGACUGCUCUGGCCAGAACAAAUUAGACUGGUAUACUUACAUUACUACAUUAUUUUUGAGCCAUAUGUAGGUCCACAUCAACAAACACAUUCUGAAAUCAGGUCAGUAUUUCACACAUUUUUCGUCAAUCAGGUAUACAUAGAAUCAUAGAAUCACAGAAUAGUUUGGGUUGGAAAGGACCUUAACAUCAUCUAGUUCCAACCC